rnacentral:misc_RNA from 1 species
GUGAAUCAUCGAAUUUUUGAACGCAAAUUGCACUCUCUGGUAUUCCGGAGAGUAUGCCUGUUUGAGGGCCAGUUGAAAUAAAAAUCGGUGUGGUUGCUGCCUUUCGUGGUGACGCACCGGAUGUGGGUCGUCUUGCCUACGGUUAAGAGACCUAAAAUUUUGCAUGAUUGUUUAGAACGUAUCUAAAUGAUUUUACGGAAGGUUGGGAUAUCGAAUACUAGGUGUGGGUAUUCUCAUGGUUCGCGCCUAUAAUUUUUGAUGAAA